AAAUUAUAUGGUGUAGUGGAUAGUCGCAAACCUAUAACUUUAGAAAUAUUAGUAAGGAAAUAUGGAUUAUUGGCUCUUCAAUAAUAUGCAGUGCUCGUGAUCACUCGGAGAACAGACCUUCAGGUAGUAAUUUAGGUCUUUUGAAAAAUAAUAAUUGUUUUUUGCGAUGGGCAGGCAAAUCUGGUAUGAAAUGGGACGAUGUUGUUGGCACAGUUAACAGCAUCAUUAAUUUAUGCAACAAAAUUCCACAUGCGUUGAUAUUGCAUUGUGGUGGGAAUGACAUAGGAAAUGUACCAUGUGGUGCUCUGCUAUAUCACAUUAAGUUCACAAUAGCAAUUCUGUCUCGCAUGCUCCCAAAUUGUUCUCUUAUAUGGUCAAGCAUUCUUCCCAGGCGUUCAUGGCGUUACUCAAGUGAUGACCAUGCCAUGGAAGUUACAAGAAAGAGAAUAAAUAGGGGAGUGAGAUCUUAUAUACUCAAACAUGGAGGAUAAGUUAUCAAAUAUCCAGAUUUUGAUGAUCGUCAUCCAGCGCUAUAUUCUGACGAUGGAGUACAUCUAUCAUUUAUUGGAAAUGAUAUUUUCUUGAAUCAAAUUCAGUCAGCACUAGAAACAUUCAUAAAGUAUCCACAUUGUGUUGUAUUUCCUCACGAUCACCUCUAAUUUAAAAUAAACACAGUUCAUACUGAUAAUGGAUGAAAAUACAUGUAUUUUAUGAAAUUUGGUUGUUAUAUAAAUGUUAAAUUCGCAAUAUCUUUUAUUAUUUUGAUUGUUUAAGGGUCAUUUUCAAAAAAUGUGGAUAUUUCAGUUGUGAAAUAACAAUACAAAAAA
rnacentral:lncRNA from 1 species